rnacentral:misc_RNA from 1 species
GUGAUGCUGAAUCUUAUCCUGCCUGUGAGAGAGUACUAUAAUGAAUCAGUACUGUAUUUGUACAUCAGUGAGGUUGCUGUCCAGGUAUUGUUUGGAUUGCUCUUGCUGUUUUAUGUUCCUGAUGUGGAUCCUUAUCCCGGGUACUCUCCACUUCGAAGUGACUCUUUCGACAACACUGCAUAUGAAGAACUUCCUGAAGGCGAGCAGAUUUGUCCCGAGAGGCACGCCAACAUACUUUCUCAAAUUCUUUUUUCAUGGAUGAAUCCUCUUAUGCAACUUGGUUAUAAAAGACCAUUAACAGAAAAGGAUGUGUGGAAACUGGAUACUUGGGAUCGGACUGAAACUCUAAACAACUCGUUUCAAAAGAGUUGGGCAGAGGAGUCUCAACGACCUAAACCAUGGCUUUUAAGAGCA